GAAUCAAAAAUUAUACAAAGGAAAUAUGCCACAGUCGACUGAACAUCUGUCUUCUAACAGUAGUUGAUUGCCAGUGUCUCAUAUAUCAAUGAGAUACUCGUUUCCAAGAGCAAAAAUUAUAAUUUAUGGACGGAACAGGAAGCCCUGAUCUUAGUUCCCUUCCCACCGAUAUAUAGGGAAGGUACUGUGGAUUAAGGGUGUCGAAAGAAGUCUACAUUU
rnacentral:snoRNA from 2 species